rnacentral:rRNA from 1 species
GACAGAGGGUGCAAACGUUGUUCGGAAUUACUGGCGUAAAGCGCGUGUAGGCGGCCCUGCAAGUCGGAUGUGAAAUCCCACGGCUCAACCGUGGAAGUGCAUUCGAAACUGCAGGGCUAGAGUCCUGGAGAGGAAGGUGGAAUGCUUGGUGUAGAGGUGAAAUUCGUAGAUAUCAAGCGGAACACCGGUGGCGAAGGCGGCCUUCUGGACAGUGACUGACGCUGAGACGCGAAAGCGUGGGGAGCAAACAGGG